AUCGAACGCUGGCGGCAGGCCUAACACAUGCAAGUCGAGCGGAUGAAGGGAGCUUGCUCCUGGAUUCAGCGGCGGACGGGUGAGUAAUGCCUAGGAAUCUGCCUGGUAGUGGGGGAUAACGUCCGGAAACGGGCGCUAAUACCGCAUACGUCCUGAGGGAGAAAGUGGGGGAUCUUCGGACCUCACGCUAUCAGAUGAGCCUAGGUCGGAUUAGCUAGUUGGUGGGGUAAAGGCCUACCAAGGCGACGAUCCGUAACUGGUCUGAGAGGAUGAUCAGUCACACUGGAACUGAGACACGGUCCAGACUCCUACGGGAGGCAGCAGUGGGGAAUAUUGGACAAUGGGCGAAAGCCUGAUCCAGCCAUGCCGCGUGUGUGAAGAAGGUCUUCGGAUUGUAAAGCACCUUAAGUUGGGAGGAAGGGCAGUAAGUUAAUACCUUGCUGUUUUGACGUUACCAACAGAAUAAGCACCGGCUAACUUCGUG
rnacentral:rRNA from 1 species